rnacentral:rRNA from 1 species
AAGCAGUGGGAGCACCCUUUGGGGUGUGACUGCGUACCUUUUGUAUAAUGGGUCAGCGACUUAUAUUCUGUAGCAAGGUUAACCGAAUAGGGGAGCCGGAGGGAAACCGAGUCUUAAUUGGGCGUUAAGUUGCAGGGUAUAGACCCGAAACCCGGUGAUCUAGCCAUGGGCAGGUUGAAGGUUGGGUAACACUAACUGGAGGACCGAACCGACUAAUGUUGAAAAAUUAGCGGAUGACCUGUGGCUGGGGGUGAAAGGCCAAUCAAACCGGGAGAUAGCUGGUUCUCCCCGAAAGCUAUUUAGGUAGCGCCUCGUGAAUUCAUCUCCGGGGGUAGAGCACUGUUUCGGCUAGGGGGCCAUCCCGGCUUACCAACCCGAUGCAAACUGCGAAUACCGGAGAAUGUUAUCACGGGAGACACACGGCGGGUGCUAACGUCCGUCGUGAAGAGGGAAACAACCCAGACCGCCAGCUAAGGUCCCAAAGUCAUGGUUAAGUGGGAAACGAUGUGGGAAGGCCCAGACAGCCAGGAUGUUGGCUUAGAAGCAGCCAUCAUUUAAAGAAAGCGUAAUAGCUCACUGGUCGAGUCGGCCUGCGCGGAAGAUGUAACGGGGCUAAACCAUGCACCGAAGCUGCGGCAGCGACGCUGAUGCGUUGUUGGGUAGGGGAGCGUUCUGUAAGCCUGCGAAGGUGGCCUGUGAGGGUUGCUGGAGGUAUCAGAAGUGCGAAUGCUGACAUAAGUAACGAUAAAGCGGGUGAAAAGCCCGCUCGCCGGAAGACCAAGGGUUCCUGUCCAACGUUAAUCGGGGCAGGGUGAGUCGACCCCUAAGGCGAGGCCGAAAGGCGUAGUCGAUGGGAAACGGGUUAAUAUUCCCGUACUUGGUGUUACUGCGAAGGGGGGACGGAGAAGGCUAUGUUGGCCGGGCGACGGUU